rnacentral:other from 1 species
GCAGAAACCGUCUAGCCAUGGCGUUAGUAUGAGUGUCGGGCAGCCUCCAGGACCCCCCCUCCCGGGAGAGCCAUAGUGGUCUGCGGAACCGGUGAGUACACCGGAAUUGUCAAAGUCGACCGAAUCCUUUGUUUUAUCAAACCCCUCGAUGCCUGGAGAUUUGGGCGUGCCCCCGCGAGCACUGUUAGCCGAGUAAUGUUGGGUCCCGUAAAGGCCUUGAGGUACUGCCUGAUAGGGUGCUCGAGA